GUCAAAACAAAGACGGCCAUUAGGAGGAACUUCCAGCGUGAAGGAGGAAUAGCGUCGCAACAAGAGUCCCACUUCCUGAAUAAAUAAGUGCUGGGAAAAUCCACCAUCUGAGCCGACUUCUUCCAUGCCGUUCCACAUCUGUAACAUCUGCUCUGAACCUCUUUCAUGUGAGGGUGAAACUCUUUUAUUUUGCAAACCUCUAAAACCCAACCCAAUGUUUCUUAAAGAAUUCUGCUCUGAACCUCUCAUGCCCAAAGUUACAGUGUGUUGAUAGUUGUUAUUGGACAGUGUUGAUGAGCACGCUGUGUUCUUGAAAUAAAGCUUUGGUUUUUACAAUAUUCUA